AUUGAACGCUGGCGGCAGGCCUAACACAUGCAAGUCGAACGAGUGGCGUACGGGUGAGUAAUGUCUGGGAAACUGCCCGAUGGAGGGGGAUAACUACUGGAAACGGUAGCUAAUACCGCAUACCAUCGGAUGUGCCCAGAUGGGCUUAGCUUGUAGGUGAGGUAACGGCUCACCUAGGCGACGAUCCCUAGCUGGUCUGAGAGGAUGACCAGUCACACGGGAACUGAGACAAGGUCCAGACUCCGACGGGAGGGAGCCGUGGGGAAUAUGGCACAAUGGGCGCAAGCCUGAGGCAGCCAUGGCGCGGGUAUGAAGAAGGCCUUCUGGUUGUAAAGUACUUUCAGCGGGGAGGCGUUACCCGCAGAAGAAGCACCGGCUAACUCCGUGCCAGCCGCCGCGGUAAUAC
rnacentral:rRNA from 1 species